CACCAUGAACCUGACUUCUGGUGGACUGACGGAGGGACACGGGGUCCAGCUGGUGCAGAUUAAUGUUCUAUAUUCUCCGGUGCUCUCUUGCCAGGACGAGUACGUUGUCAUCCAGAACACAUCUGUCAGCCUCAGGUGUUCUGUAGACGCCUUCCCGGCCCCCAGUGUCAUACGUUGGCGACGGAAGCAUCAGACAAGACGUUAAUGACCGGAGACAAGUUCACAAUCGACGAUGUCCAAAUGACAGACGGUGGUGUGUAUAUAUGCACAGCUACAAACAGUAUGACAGAUUAUAAUGGUCAAUCCGGACAGGGACUGGAUCAUGCGCAGUCCGAGUGAAAGUCGUGUCACGUGACACAGUGGGAUGUCCAUAUCAUACCCCAAAAAGCCAUCAUCCCCUUCAACUUCACAUCAUCUUCAUCGUCGGCGGUGUUUUCGUGGUCGUCCUAGUGGUAACGGUCAUCUGCAUGAAGAGGAGAUUCCAAGGAAAAAGUCAUCACGAUGAAAGCGUCGAGAAGAACGGAGACAUACCAUUGACUGAAAUCCCGGGAGUGACCACGCUUAUCUACAAACAGAUGUGAUGGUGUGGAUCUCACUUCUGGACAUCGAAUGUCAACAGACGUAACUGUGUACUCACUUGAUUCCCUACAACUAUAGUUCCAUGUUUGAUAACGUUCAGCUGUUCACAUUUCACACAUUACACAGUUACAUGUGUUGUAUUUGGAAUUAGCCAUCUAACCCACUCAGCCAUCGAGGCUUCCACAAUAAACACUUGCCAGAGGGGUACACAAAGUAUGGGAUCUAGACUACCAAGUGUCCGAAUUUCAAUUUAGUGGAAUUCGCUGUGGCAGAGUGGGUUAGGUGCCUGACUAAGAGUGUUGGUUCGGAUCCCACUACCCAAAUCUGACCACUUUCUAAAUGAUUCACCCAUUACACAGCUGCGUACUCACAUCAG